rnacentral:rRNA from 1 species
UACGUAGGGUGCAAGCGUUGUCCGGAAUUAUUGGGCGUAAAGAGCUCGUAGGCGGUCUGUCGCGUCUGCUGUGAAAACCUAGGGCUUAACCCUGGGCGUGCAGUGGGUACGGGCAGGCUAGAGUGCGGUAGGGGAGACUGGAAUUCCUGGUGUAGCGGUGAAAUGCGCAGAUAUCAGGAGGAACACCGGUGGCGAAGGCGGGUCUCUGGGCCAUAACUGACGCUGAGGAGCGAAAGCGUGGGGAGCGAACAGG